rnacentral:rRNA from 1 species
GUAGGGUGCAAGCGUUAAUCGGGAAUUACUGGGGCGUAAAGCGUGCGCAGGCGGUCCGCUAAGACAGAUGUGAAAUCCCCGGGGCUUAACCUGGGAACUGCAUUUGUGACUGGCGGGCUAGAGUAUGGCAGAGGGGGGUAGAAUUCCACGUGUAGCAGUGAAAUGCGUAGAGAUGUGGAGGAAUACCGAUGGCGAAGGCAGCCCCCUGGGCCAAUACUGACGCUCAUGCACGAAAGCGUGGGGAGCAAACAGGAUUAGAUACCCUGGUAGUCCACGCCCUAAACGAUGUCAACUAGUUGUCGGGUCUUCAUUGACUUGGUAACGUAGCUAACGCGUGAAGUUGACCGCUUGGGGAGUACGGUCGCAAGAUUA